UUGGGAUCCCUGACAGCAUGGGCAUUCCGAAAAUACCUGAAUAAAUGUGAUGAAAAAUCUGCCAGCAGAGAGUUGGGAGGAGCUCCCUUGAGAACAUGGGCAGGGAGCAUGGAGGGAAGAAGAGGAUGGACCCGCAGGGAGCAAGGUGGACCACCAGGGGCGGCUCCGGCAAGCGGCCGGUCUUCCCCAGGCCUGUCAAUCCCAACCUGCUGGGAAGUCUGCAGACGUUCCCUGACGACCUUAAAGUUACUGGAAAUCCACUUCUUAUGAAAAUCGCCCGAGGCCCAUAACCUAGGGUGCCAUCCACCGGUAUCUAUUGAUCCGAUAAUGGAGAUGACUUCAAAGAUCCUGAGAAGAGCCACCACCAGUGACCACCAGGGUGAUGCCCACCCCUCUCCGUUUCCUUGAAAGAGGAGGCCGAGACCCCAGCGCCGUCUCACUCUCCCGAUGGCCGGCGUCCUCCCUUGACCCGGACUGUGUCCCAGUAAAUCCCCUAUGGGCCCUUCCUGA